CAUCCCGACUUACCAAACCGAUGCAAACUCCGAAUACCUAUGAGUACUAUCCGGGAGACAGACUGCGGGUGCUAACGUCCGUAGUCAAGAGGAAAACAAUCCAGACCGCCAGCUAAGGCCCCAAAAUCAUAGUUAAGUGGGAAACGAUGUGGGAAGGCAUAGACAGCUAGGAGGUUGGCUUAGAAGCAGCCACCCUUUAAAGAAAGCGUAAUAGCUCACUAGUCGAGUCGGCCUGCGCGGAAGAUGUAACGGGGCUAAAACUAUGUGCCGAAGCUGCGGAUGUAUACUUUGUAUACGUGGUAGGGGAGCGUUCUGUAAGCCGAUGAAGGUGUGUUGAGAAGCAUGCUGGAGGUAUCAGAAGUGCGAAUGCUGACGUGAGUAACGACAAAACGGGUGAAAAACCCGUUCGCCGAAAGACCAAGGGUUCCAGUCCAACGUUAAUCGGGGCUGGGUGAGUCGACCCCUAAGGCGAGGCCGAAAGGCGUAGUCGAUGGGAAAAUGGUUAAUAUUCCAUUACUUCUGUGUAAUGCGAUGAGAGGACGGAGAAGGCUAAAUCAGCCUGGCGUUGGUUGUCCAGGUGAAAGGAUGUAGGCAUGUAUCUUAGGCAAAUCCGGGGUACUCUAUGCUGAGAUCUGAUAGCAAGCUGUACUUGUACAGCGAAGUGGUUGAUGCCAUGCUUCCAGGAAAAGUCUCUAAGCUUCAGUUACACAGGAAUCGUACCCGAAACCGACACAGGUGGUCAGGUCGAGUAGACCAAGGCGCUUGAGAGAACUCUGCUGAAGGAACUAGGCAAAAUGGUACCGUAACUUCGGGAGAAGGUACGCUGUUGUUGGUGAUGGAACUCGCUUCCUGAGCUGACGACAGCCGCAGAAACCAGGCCGCUGCAACUGUUUAUUAAAAACAUAGCACUCUGCAAACACGAAAGUGGACGUAUAGGGUGUGAUGCCUGCCCGGUGCUGGAAGGUUAAUUGAUGGGGUUAGCGUAAGCGAAGCUCUUGAUCGAAGCCCCAGUAAACGGCGGCCGUAACUAUAACGGUCCUAAGGUAGCGAAAUUCCUUGUCGGGUAAGUUCCGACCUGCACGAAUGGCAUAAUGAUGGCGGCGCUGUCUCCAGCAGAGGCUCAGUGAAAUCGAAAUCGCUGUGAAGAUGCAGUGUACCCGCGGCUAGACGGAAAGACCCCGUGAACCUUUACUGCAGCUUGACACUGAACUUUGACCUUACUUGUGUAGGAUAGGUGGGAGGCUUUGAAGCUGGAACGCUAGUUCCAGUGGAGCCGUCCUUGAAAUACCACCCUGGUAAUGUUGAGGUUCUAACUCUGUCCCGUGAUCCGGGACGAGGACCGUGUCUGGUGGGUAGUUUGACUGGGGCGGUCUCCUCCUAAAGAGUAACGGAGGAGUACGAAGGUGCGCUCAGCGUGGUCGGAAAUCACGCGUAGAGUAUAAAGGCAAAAGCGCGCUUAACUGCGAGACCCACAAGUCGAGCAGGUACGAAAGUAGGUCUUAGUGAUCCGGUGGUUCUGUAUGGAAGGGCCAUCGCUCAACGGAUAAAAGGUACUCUGGGGAUAACAGGCUGAUACCGCCCAAGAGUUCAUAUCGACGGCGGUGUUUGGCACCUCGAUGUCGGCUCAUCUCAUCCUGGGGCUGAAGCAGGUCCCAAGGGUAUGGCUGUUCGCCAUUUAAAGAGGUACGCGAGCUGGGUUUAGAACGUCGUGAGACAGUUCGGUCCCUAUCUACCGUGGGCGCUGGAAAUUUGAGAGGAUCUGCUCCUAGUACGAGAGGACCAGAGUGGACGAACCUCUGGUGUACCGGUUGUGACGCCAGUCGCAUCGCCGGGUAGCUAUGUUCGGAAGGGAUAACCGCUGAAAGCAUCUAAGCGGGAAGCCUACCUCAAGAUAAGAUUUCCCUAGGACUUUAUGUCCUCUAAAGAGCCGUUCGAGACUAGGACGUUGAUAGGUUGGAUGUGGAAGCAUAGUGAUAUGUGAAGCUGACCAAUACUAAUUGCUCGUGAGGCUUGACUAU
rnacentral:rRNA from 1 species